rnacentral:tRNA from 1 species
GCGGAAGUGGCGUAAUGGCAGCCGCGAUAGCUUCAGGGGCUAUUGCCCGCAAGGGCGUGGGGGUUCAAAUCCCCCCUUCCGCA